UACAGAGGUCUCAAGCGUUGUCCGGAAUCACUGGGCGUAAAGGGCGCGUAGGCGGCUGGGGAAGUCGGCGGUGAAAGCCCGGAGCUCAACUCCGGGUCGGCCGUCGAGACUCCUCGGCUCGAGCUCACUAGAGGCAGAUGGAAUUCCGGGUGUAGCGGUGGAAUGCGUAGAGAUCCGGAAGAACACCGGUGGCGAAGGCGGUCUGCUGGGGUGAGGCUGACGCUGAGGCGCGACAGCGUGGGGAGCAAACAGG
rnacentral:rRNA from 1 species